rnacentral:lncRNA from 1 species
AUGUCUCCUUUUGUUGUGCACUCCUAUUCAGAAUCCCAACUAAAUAUUCUUCAAGAUCUACAGAAGACAAAGCGUUGCUUGCUCUAUUUGGAUGCCACUGGCAGCGUAGUUUCUAAACCUCACCCAUCCACCCAAUCAGUGCUUUACUAUGCACUUUGCAUUUCCUGUCAGUCUACAACAAAGACUGUUAUCCCUGUGGCUGAAAUGCUUUCAUCUGAUCAAACCACAGCAACAAUCCUGCAUUGGUUGACAUGUAUACGAAGAGAUUUCUACAAACUCUUUCAAAAACAUUUGAAACCACAAAAAGUUGAGACCGAUUUUAGUUGGGCAAUGAUACAUGCUGUAGUUCAAGUGUUCAACACAGUCAGUGUUCAAGACUACCUGGAAAUCUGCUUCCAAGUUUGCAUGGAGAAUGAGACAGUGCAGUUAACAGUAUUACAUCUUUGUGCUGCUCACAUGCUUAAACUGAUAACUGUCAAGCUGUCCAAGAUGGAAUGCAAAAAGGAGACAAAGCAAUUCUUUCUUUACUGCUUUGCUCUUUUGCUAAAUGCAACAAGGUUUGAUCAGAUCCUGUCCAUUUCAAGAUGCAUAUCAUAUGUAUUUUCCUCUAAGUAUGACACUGAGGGCUCUAAGAAACAUCUUUCUUCUCUGAAGGAUGCCAUCGAGACACAGAGUGCAGAAAAGAUGGAAGUCAGUAGCACGGAUGAAGUUCAAGGGCUUGGGGAUUUUGAAAACAUGUCAAAAUCAAUCUCAAAAUCAUCCCCAUUCUUUGCUCCGAUUGAAGAUGUUAUCAAGCAAGCACAGGAAGAAGCAGAGAAAGAAGCAGAGAACAGUGGGCCACAGAAUAAAUAUUUUUGCACAUCUCUUCUUGAUGUGAUUUUGCAUUACGCUGGUACUGUUCCCCUUUGGUCAGGUAUAAUGCUGAAAACUACUGGCAAAAGCAGAGAUAGCAAUGCUGUGGUGGAGAACUGGUUUCGCACAACCAAAUCAGUCAUUUUGGGUUCAAAACUACACAGAAGACCAGGAGACUUUUUGCAAGUCCAGCAUGAGUUUGUUGUUGGAAGAGUGAAAGGAAUGUCACUUGUAAAAAAGCGUGCACUUGCGACAACCCCAAGUAACAAAGACAUGCAGAAAACCGAAGGCCCAGAGACACUGGCCCUGUCUCAAGAGGAGCAAUGGAAAAAACGAACACCUAGAAAAAAAAAAUCAAAGUAUUUCAGCUCGCCUCCUUCAGUGAAAAAAGUCUAUGCAUCCUCAAACACAAAAAACCUGUCCAAGUCAUCAACACACCCUUCAUUAAAAAAAAAAAGCAAUCAUGUCCACAGUGGGGAGGAAAGGCAGUUCUUGGACAGAGAACCAUUGCAAUGA